GAUGAACGCUGGCGGCGUGCCUAAUACAUGCAAGUAGAACGCUGAAGGAGGAGCUUGCUCUUCUGGAUGAGUUGCGAACGGGUGAGUAACGCGUAGGUAACCUGCCUGGUAGCGGGGGAUAACUAUUGGAAACGAUAGCUAAUACCGCAUGACAACAGUUAUUGCAUGAUAACUGUUUAAAAGGGGCAACUGCUCCACUACCAGAUGGACCUGCGUUGUAUUAGCUAGUUGGUGAGGUAACGGCUCACCAAGGCGACGAUACAUAGCCGACCUGAGAGGGGGGUCGGCCACACUGGGACUGGGACACGGCCCAGACUCCUACGGGAGGCAGCAGUAGGGAAUCUUCGGCAAUGGACGGAAGUCUGACCGAGCAACGCCGCGUGAGUGAAGAAGGUUUUCGGAUCGUAAAGCUCUGUUGUAAGAGAAGAACGAGUGUGAGAGUGGAAAGUUCACACUGUGACGGUAUCUAACCAGAAAGGGACGGCUAACUACGUG
rnacentral:rRNA from 1 species